rnacentral:rRNA from 1 species
GACGAACGCUGGCGGCGUGCUUAACACAUGCAAGUCGAACGGAAAGGCCCUGCUUUUGUGGGGUGCUCGAGUGGCGAACGGGUGAGUAACGCGUGAGUAACCUGCCCUUGACUUUGGGAUAACUUCAGGAAACUGGGGCUAAUACCGGAUAGGAGCUCCUGCUGCAUGGUGGGGGUUGGAAAGUUUCGGCGGUUGGGGGUGGACUCGCGGCUUAUCAGCUUGUUGGUGGGGUAGUGGCUUACCAAGGCUUUGACGGGUAGCCGGCCUGAGAGGGUGACCGGCCACAUUGGGACUGAGAUACGGCCCAGACUCCUACGGGAGGCAGCAGUGGGGAAUAUUGCACAAUGGGCGGAAGCCUGAUGCAGCGACGCCGCGUGCGGGAUGACGGCCUUCGGGUUGUAAACCGCUUUCGCCUGUGACGAAGCGUGAGUGACGGUAAUGGGUAAAGAAGCACCGGCUAACUACGUG